rnacentral:snRNA from 1 species
AUCUCUUUGCCUUUUGGCUUAGAUCAAGUGUAGUAUCUGUUCUUUUCAGUGUAACAACUGAAAUAUCACCAUUGGUGAUUUUAUUGUUACUGUAUUUUUGGAAAUCGUUGGAAAACCUCUGGACUUGUCUAUUGUUUUCUAACACUGUGUCGCUGCUAUUGCACUACCGGCAGCUGACGCGAUCUCCC